CCACUCCCUGGCUCUGUCAGGGCCCACUCCCCACACUGCGUUGCUCCAUGGGCUACAAAAAUCAUAGAAGGAUAAGUGUGGGUGAAUGCAGAGUUUCUUACUAAGUGUGCCUUGAUCUGUAAGUGCAAAGUCUUUGGGUACCCCCUGUGCUCAACCUUUGGACAUCAUCGGUUAAAUUCGGCUUCAGUCCACUGCAGCUAUUGGGUACAGGGCUACUCCCAGAGAACCGACAGCGAACCCCUUUGAUCACCUCUCAGCUUUGUCUCUAAAUGACCCUGGUCACUCUGGUUUGAGCCUGUACUCUCCCAUACUAAAGGGCAUGUCCCAGAGCUGUAGCAGACUUGUCUCCCAUGAAUAAUCAGACUGUUAAAUCAAGCACCUUAGCGUGGUUUGACUUUGAUGAUAUAAGAGGCCAGAUACUUUUUGGAAUAGUCUACCUGCUGUUUAUUAUUUGGUUCUGUUGGAAAAUUUGGAGAGAUCAAAAGCGGGGAUUUGUAGUGUGGGAAUUUCCCUGACAGCUACAGCGUCGCUAAGAAUCGAGAGACAAUGGUAAGAGUCCCCUCCAUCAUAGCCGGGCUAUGGGAAAUGAUCUUAGGAAGGUUGAUACUGCGUCACCCUCAAGUAAAUGCCUCCUACCCCACAGGAGAGUAUGAAUAAGAAAUAUGGCAU